UAUUAGAUAGGUAACUCUGUGUUGUAUUAGAUAGGUAACUCUGUGUUGUAUUAGAUAGGUAACUCUGUGUUGUAUUAGAUAGGUAACUCUGUGUUGUAUUAGAUAGGUAACUCUGUGUUGUAUUAGAUAGGUAACUCUGUGUUGUAUUAGAUAAUUAACUCUGUGUUGUAUUAGAUAAUUAACUCUGUGUUGUACUAGAUAGGUAACUCUAAAUCAUAUUACUGUCUGUGGGCACACAUCGUAUUCUCGGCCUAAAUCAUUAUAUUCAUGUUACUGUGUGUUAACAUGAGGAAGAGGUUCUAUUCGUGUUACUGUGUGUUAACAUGAGGAAGAGGUUCUAUUCGUGUUACUGUGUGUUAACAUGAGGAAGAGAUCCUAUUCAUGUUACUGUGUGUUAACAUGAGGUUCUAUUCAUGUUACUGUGUGUUAACAUGAGGUUCUAUUCAUGUUACUGUGUGUUAAUGUGAGGAAGAGGUUCUAUUCAUGUUACUGUGUGUUAACAUGAGGAAGAGGUUCUAUUCAUGUUACUGUGUGUUAACAUGAGGAAGAGGUUCUAUUCAUGUUACUGUGUGUUAACGUGAGGAAGAGGUUCUAUUCAUGUUACUGUGUGUUAAUGUGAGGAAGAGGUUCUAUUCAUGUUACUGUGUGUUAACAUGAGGAAGAGGUUCUAUUCAUGUUACUGUGUGUUAACGUGAGGAAGAGGUUCUAUUCAUGUUACUGUGUGUUAACAUGAGGUUCUAUUCAUGUUACUGUGUGUUAACAUGAGGUUCUAUUCAUGUUACUGUGUGUUAAUGUGAGGAAGAGGUUCUAUUCAUGUUACUGUGUGUUAACAUGAGGUUCUAUUCAUGUUACUGUGUGUUAACAUGAGGUUCUAUUCAUGUUACUGUGUGUUAACGUGAGGAAGAGGUUCUAUUCAUGUUACUGUGUGUUAACGUGAGGAAGAGGUUCUAUUCAUGUUACUGUGUGUUAACGUGAGGAAGAGGUUCUAUUCAUGUUACUGUGUGUUAACAUGAGGAAGAGGUUCUAUUCAUGUUACUGUGUGUUAACGUGAGGAAGAGGUUCUAUUCAUGUUACUGUGUGUUAAUGUGAGGAAGAGGUUCUAUUCAUGUUACUGUGUGUUAACGUGAGGAAGAGGUUCUAUUCAUGUUACUGUGUGUUAACGUGAGGAAGAGGUUCUAUUCAUGUUACUGUGUGUUAACAUGAGGAAGAGGUUCUAUUCAUGUUACUGUGUGUUAACAUGAGGUUCUAUUCAUGUUACUGUGUGUUAACAUGAGGAAGAGGUUCUAUUCAUGUUACUGUGUGUUAACGUGAGGAAGAGGUUCUAUUCAUGUUACUGUGUGUUAACAUGAGGUUCUAUUCAUGUUACUGUGUGUUAACAUGAGGAAGAGGUUCUAUUCGUGUUACUGUGUGUUAACAUGAGGAAGAGGUUCUAUUCGUGUUACUGUGUGUUAACAUGAGGUUCUAUUCAUGUUACUGUGUGUUAACGUGAGGAAGAGGUUCUAUUCGUGUUACUGUGUGUUAACAUGAGGUUCUAUUCAUGUUACUGUGUGUUAACAUGAGGUUCUAUUCAUGUUACUGUGUGUUAACAUGAGGAAGAGGUUCUAUUCAUGUUACUGUGUGUUAAUGUGAGGAAGAGGUUCUAUUCAUGUUACUGUGUGUUAAUGUGAGGAAGAGGUUCUAUUCAUGUUACUGUGUGUUAACGUGAGGAAGAGGUUCUAUUCAUGUUACUGUGUGUUAACGUGAGGAAGAGGUUCUAUUCAUGUUACUGUGUGUUAACAUGAGGAAGAGGUUCUAUUCAUGUUACUGUGUGUUAACAUGAGGAAGAGGUUCUAUUCAUGUUACUGUGUGUUAACGUGAGGAAGAGGUUCUAUUCAUGUUACUGUGUGUUAACAUGAGGUUCUAUUCAUGUUACUGUGUGUUAACAUGAGGUUCUAUUCAUGUUACUGUGUGUUAAUGUGAGGAAGAGGUUCUAUUCAUGUUACUGUGUGUUAACAUGAGGUUCUAUUCAUGUUACUGUGUGUUAACAUGAGGUUCUAUUCAUGUUACUGUGUGUUAACGUGAGGAAGAGGUUCUAUUCAUGUUACUGUGUGUUAACGUGAGGAAGAGGUUCUAUUCAUGUUACUGUGUGUUAACGUGAGGAAGAGGUUCUAUUCAUGUUACUGUGUGUUAACGUGAGGAAGAGGUUCUAUUCAUGUUACUGUGUGUUAAUGUGAGGAAGAGGUUCUAUUCAUGUUACUGUGUGUUAACAUGAGGAAGAGGUUCUAUUCAUGUUACUGUGUGUUAACGUGAGGAAGAGGUUCUAUUCAUGUUACUGUGUGUUAACGUGAGGAAGAGGUUCUAUUCAUGUUACUGUGUGUUAACAUGAGGUUCUAUUCAUGUUACUGUGUGUUAACAUGAGGAAGAGGUUCUAUUCAUGUUACUGUGUAUUAAUGUGAGGAAGAGGUUCUAUUCAUGUUACUGUGUGUUAACAUGAGGUUCUAUUCAUGUUACUGUGUGUUAAUGUGAGGAAGAGGUUCUAUUCAUGUUACUGUGUGUUAAUGUGAGGAAGAGGUUCUAUUCAUGUUACUGUGUGUUAACAUGAGGUUCUAUUCAUGUUACUGUGUGUUAAUGUGAGGAAGAGGUUCUAUUCAUGUUACUGUGUGUUAAUGUGAGGAAGAGGUUCUAUUCAUGUUACUGUGUGUUAACAUGAGGUUCUAUUCAUGUUACUGUGUGUUAAUGUGAGGAAGAGGUUCUAUUCAUGUUACUGUGUUAAUGUGAGGAAGAGGUUCUAUUCAUUAUUUAACAGCCCUGCAGGUCCAGAGAAUCCAGCAGAUUCCCUAAUGGAUGUAAACAGAUUAACACACACAGCUGGAUACCAAGCACACACACUGUCUAGAUGAGCACACUGUAGCAGGGAUUAUGGGUAAUCCUCCAAUCUUACUUCCUCUGGUGAAUCACAC